rnacentral:rRNA from 1 species
UACGUAGGGUGCGAGCGUUAAUCGGAAUUACUGGGCGUAAAGCGUGCGCAGGCGGUGAUGUAAGACCGAUGUGAAAUCCCCGGGCUUAACCUGGGAACUGCAUUGGUGACUGCAUCGCUCGAGUAUGGCAGAGGGGGGUAGAAUUCCACGUGUAGCAGUGAAAUGCGUAGAUAUCUGGAGGAACACCGGUGGCGAAGGCGGCAUCCUGGACCGGUAUUGACGCUGAGGCGCGAAAGCCAGGGGAGCAAACGGG